ACAAGUCUAGAAACAAAUAAGUCAUACUUCAGAUUUUAUACCUAUAAAAAUGAAUUCAACCUAGAAAAUAAUCCUAAGUAUGUUCACAAAUACAGAUAUAUCACGACCAAAUUAUGACAAAGUUCUCUACUAGAUACCAAUUGUUAAAGAAGUAUAGUUUAAGAAAAAUAACAUAAUUAAGUCAUGCUUCAUGUCAUCUCUAAUCAUUU
rnacentral:lncRNA from 1 species